CAGAGGGUGCAAGCGUUAAUCGGAAUUACUGGGCGUAAAGCGCGCGUAGGUGGUUUGUUAAGUUGGAUGUGAAAUCCCCCGGGGCUCAACCUGGGAACUGCAUUCAAAACUGACUGACUAGAGUAUGGUAGAGGGUGGUGGAAUUUCCUGUGUAGCGGUGAAAAUGCGUAGAUAUAGGAAGGAACACCAGUGGCGAAGGCGACCACCUGGACUAAUACUGACACUGAGGUAGCGAAAAGCGUGGGGGAGCAAAACAGGAUU
rnacentral:rRNA from 1 species